GGAACAACACACUGCAAAAGGAUAAAGGCUGAUCCAGUAUAGCAACCUUUCUGAGACCUGCCUUAAGGCUAAGAUGAACAUUCAGGAGAUGGAGAAACCUGAACGUGGAGGCUUCAGAACUUCCCCCCAGAGGACAAGGAAUUAAAGGAACUUCGUCUUGUGAACCAAAGUCACGUGUCGGCUGUUAUCAGCUACUUCUUGCCUUCUUGCACAGCCAUAUCUGUCAAUACCACAUGGAAGCACACAGCCCGUAGUGUUGAGGAGCUUUGCCUGCAAAAUUCCUGCUUUUGUUUUGAGACUGCUCCUAUGAGAUACUCCCUUCAAUGGCACCUUAAUGGUUACACAGGGCACUGAGGAAGGCUCAAACCUUCAUAACUACAGUACAGCUCCCUCCAUCCAGGUA
rnacentral:lncRNA from 1 species